rnacentral:rRNA from 1 species
AAUCAUUAGUCUUUUAAUUUAAGACUGGAAUGAAUGGUUUAACUAAUUAAUUUUGUCUCAUUUUAAUAUUUUGAAUUUUAUAUUUUGGUAAAAAAGCUAAAAUUUUUUUUAAAGACGAGAAGACCCUAUCAAGCUUUAUAAUUAAUUUUUACACUCAAAAUAAAAUUAAAAUUAUUUUACUGGGGCAGUAGACGAAAAUUUUUCGUUUUAUCAUUUUGAUUAAUUUAUCUUGAAAAAUCAGAAAAUUUUUAAAAAAUAAUAAGUUACUGUAGGGAUAACAGCAUAAUUUUUUUCAAGAGAUCUCAUCAUCAAAAAAGUUUGUGACCUCGAUGUUGGAUUAAGAUUCCUAAUUACGCAAUAGUAAAAUAAGG